rnacentral:rRNA from 1 species
AUUGAACGCUGGCGGCAGGCCUAACACAUGCAAGUCGAGCGGAUGAAGGGAGCUUGCUCCUGGAUUCAGCGGCGGACGGGUGAGUAAUGCCUAGGAAUCUGCCUGGUAGUGGGGGAUAACGUCCGGAAACGGGCGCUAAUACCGCAUACGUCCUGAGGGAGAAAGUGGGGGAUCUUCGGACCUCACGCUAUCAGAUGAGCCUAGGUCGGAUUAGCUAGUUGGUGGGGUAAAGGCCUACCAAGGCGACGAUCCGUAACUGGUCUGAGAGGAUGAUCAGUCACACUGGAACUGAGACACGGUCCAGACUCCGACGGGAGGCAGCAGUGGGGAAUAUUGGACAAUGGGCGAAAGCCUGAUCCAGCCAUGCCGCGUGUGUGAAGAAGGUCUUCGGAUUGUAAAGCACUUUAAGUUGGGAGGAAGGGCAGUAAGUUAAUACCUUGCUGUUUUGACGUUACCAAUAGAAUAAGCACCGGCUAACUUCGUG